rnacentral:rRNA from 1 species
AGAGUUUGAUCCUGGCUCAGGACGAACGCUGGCGGCGUGCUUAAUGCAUGCAAGUCGAACGAAGAACCCACUAUGGGUAACCACUGUGGAAUUCUUAGUGGCGAACGGGUGAGUAACACGUGAGAAACCUGCCCCGGAGACCGGAAUAGCCCAGGGAAACCUGGAUUAAUACCGGAUACCCUCUUACGAUCGCAUGAUCGAUUGAGGAAAUGGUCCGCCGCUCCGGGAUGGUCUCGCGCCCUAUCAGCUAGUUGGUGAGGUAACGGCUCACCAAGGCAAUGACGGGUAGCUGGUUUGAGAGGACGAUCAGCCACACUGGGACUGAGACACGGCCCAGACUCCUACGGGAGGCAGCAGCAGGGAAUUUUGCACAAUGGGCGAAAGCCUGAUGCAGCGACGCCGCGUGGGGGAUGAAUGCCUUCGGGUUGUAAACCCCUUUCAGGAGGGACGAAGCGAAAGUGACGGUACCUCCAGAAGAAGCCCCGGCCAACUACGUGCCAGCAGCCGCGGUAAUACGUAGGGGGCGAGCGUUGUCCGGAUUUAUUGGGCGUAAAGAGCUCGUAGGCGGCUCAGCAAGUCGGCCGUGAAAACCUGAGGCUCAACCUCAGGACGCCGGUCGAAACUGCUGUGGCUAGGGUUCGGUAGAGGAGAGUGGAAUUCCCGGUGUAGCGGUGAAAUGCGCAGAUAUCGGGAGGAACA